CAUCUACGCAGUGAUUCUAGCCAAGGUUAGAGACGUGAAAGCGAUGUCAAGGUCAUUUUGGAGAGUAUACACUAGAAGUCUGCGCCCGGAAACGCUGAAGUGGUUGGGAGUUCGAAAAAGGGCGUUUCAAAGCUCAUAUUAAUGCCAAGCGUUUGAAUCUGCUCAUCGAUUUUGCUGCCGUCCUGUCCUAGGCUGAUAACAAGAAUAUGACAACUGUAGUUUGAUGAGUGAAUGAUCAAGUAAAGAAAUCACUCUAGAGAGCUCCUAACCUCUAACUUGGGAAAAAGUUGACACACUCCUCUACCAAAUGAGUCUCCAUGACGGCAGUACCAGGUAGCGUGACCAGCUUCUCAGCCUCGUAAAUCUUUCAAGGAACAGCUCCCCUUACUCCCCGUGAACGGUUGUUCCUAUCGUUUUACGCACCCAGACAAGGAAGAAAAAAUGUCAGCCUGAAGAAAAUUCAUGAUUACCGGAAGAGUUGUGUUGUCAGACUUAAUCACCAUAAAGCAGCUUCUUAGCUAUUAGGAUCGACAACAUUUUUUUAGCAAACAAUCUGUGCAAUUAUUAUAUGAUAAUACUAGAUUGAAGGAUUUAUCUUAUUAUAGGAUAUGUUUUCUUCAGAUGU